rnacentral:rRNA from 1 species
UACGUAGGAGGCGAGCGUUGUCCGGAGUUACUGGGCGUAAAGGGUGCGCAGGCGGCCAUUGAAGUUUGCGGUGAAAUCUCCCGGCUUACCUGGGAGGGUGCCGUGAAAACUGGAUGGCUUGAGGCUCGGGGAGGGGCGUGGAAUUCCGGGUGGAGCGGUGAAAUGCGUAGAGAUCCGGAGGAACACCGACGGCGUAGGCAGCGCCCUAAACGAGUUCUGACGCUCAGGCACGAAAGCUGGGGGAGCAAACAGG